AGGACGAACGCUGGCGGCGUGCUUAACACAUGCAAGUCGAGCGGAAAGGCCCUUCGGGGUACUCGAGCGGCGAACGGGUGAGUAACACGUGAGCAACCUGCCCUUAGCUCCGGGAUAGCUCCGGGAAACCGGAAUUAAUACCGGAUACAACCACGGCCGACAUCUGCUGUGGUGGAAAGGAUUCCGGCUAAGGAUGGGCUCGCGGCCUAUCAGCUAGUUGGUGGAGUAACGGCCCACCAAGGCGACGACGGGUAGCCGGCCUGAGAGGGCGACCGGCCACACUGGGACUGAGACACGGCCCAGACUCCUACGGGAGGCAGCAGUGGGAAUAUUGCGCAAUGGGCGAAAGCCUGACGCAGCGACGCCGCGUGGGGGAUGGAAGGCCUUCGGGUUGUAAACCCUUUCAGCAGGGACGAAGCGAAAGUGACGGUACCUGCAGAAGAAGCGCCGGCUAACUACGCGCCAGCAGCCGC
rnacentral:rRNA from 1 species